UUGAUUUUAAAAGAUGUGCUGGCUUUCUUGGCAUGUGCACUCUUAACAAAACCAAUAUCCACCUGUGCACAAUCUGUAGGCAAUUUGUUUUGCCUAUGUCUCUUUAUAAACAACUAUUGAUGUAUCUGAAUGCAUUAUAAAUAUUGUAAAA
rnacentral:misc_RNA from 1 species